rfam:Kerstersia gyiorum strain CG1 PROKKA_contig000013, whole genome shotgun sequence.
CAGGAUGGACAGGCAAUCGCGGCACAGCAAUGUGUCGAGGAAGGUCCGGACUCCAUAGGGCAGGAUAGCGGCUAACGGCCGUCCGGCGCAAGCCGAGGACUAGGGCCACAGAGACGAGUCUGAUGCGGGGGCAUGCCUGGCAUGCACGGGUACGGCCACUCCGUACCCUGCGGUCUGGCAACAGAUCGCGGCGCAUCAGGGUGAAACGCGGCAACCUCUAUCCGGAGCAACGUCAAAUAGGCAUGCGUGUGGUUUCGGCCACGCAGGGCGGCUCGCCCGAGCAUGCGGGUAGGCGGCUAGAACCGCGCGGCAACGCGCGGUCCAGAGGAAUGAUUGCCGGCCAGCGCAAGCUGGUCUACAGAAUCCGGCCUAUCGUUCAUCCUGCACC